CAUUACACUAUUAUGUCAGUGCUUUGCUUUACAGCAACACACUGAUUUAAUGUCUCUAAAGCCUAUACUUGAACUCAAUAAUUCAAUAUUACCAGCAAAACAAGAGAGCCACUGCUCUUCGAGGCGGUGAAGUGGACAAUUCCUUACUCCAGCUUCAGAGGAGCAUCUUUGCAUGAAUUAAUACUAACUCCUCAGUCAGCUGACCAUCUAUUUUUGAGAUUAGAGCAUAAGAACUCCGUAACGGCGGAGAAGAGUUUCGCCUCGAA
rnacentral:lncRNA from 1 species